UGACUUACUAUUGGAAGUGAAAAAAAGAGUCCUAAGAUGAGCUCAGGGAGGACAGAAACCUCCCAUGGAGAAGAAGGGCAAGAGUUCGCUUGAUCUUGAUUUUCAGUAUGAAUAAAGACCCUGAAAGCAGAGCUUCACAUCCUUCUGACCUUUGGGGUUUUAAGCAGAAA
rnacentral:ncRNA from 1 species